rnacentral:rRNA from 1 species
UACAGAGGUCCCAAGCGUUGUUCGGAUUCAUUGGGCGUAAAGGGUGCGUAGGUGGCGCCGUAAGUCGGGUGUGAAAUUUCGGAGCUUAACUCCGAAACUGCACUCGAUACUGCGGUGCUUGAGGACUGGAGAGGAGACUGGAAUUCAUGGUGUAGCAGUGAAAUGCGUAGAGAUCAUGAGGAAGACCAGUGGCGAAGGCGGGUCUCUGGACAGUUCCUGACGCUGAGGCACGAAGGUCAGGGGAGCAAACGGG